rnacentral:rRNA from 1 species
GCAAGGGGAGCGGCAGACGGGAGAGUAACACGUGGGAACGUACCCUUUGGUUCGGAACAACCCAGGGAAACUUGGGCUAAUACCGAAUAAGCCCUUACGGGGAAAGAUUUAUCGCCGAAGGAUCGGCCCGCGUCUGAUUAGCUAGUUGGUGAGGUAACGGCUCUCCAAGGCGACGAUCAGUAGCUGGUCUGAGAGGAUGAUCAGCCUCAUUGGGAGUGAGACACGGCCCAGACUCCUACGGGAGGCAGCAGUGGGGAAUAUUGGACAAUGGGCGCAAGCCUGAUCCACCCAUGCCGCGUGGGUGAUGAAGGCCCUAGGG